CGUGUAUAUUAUAUUUUUAAUGUGCCAUUCUAUUUUCAGUGUAUAGUUAGCACAAAAGUUUUUACCUCUUAAUUCAGGUAUAGGUAUUAUUGUUAACCUCAUAGCAGUUAAGUUCUUUCUUUGUGAAGUUACUCUUAAAUACCCUGAAGAAUUUUAAUUAUUAAAAUAGAUGUGAUUUGUAUCAGAUAUCUGGCAUGUGAUAUUCUUACAAAACAGGAUACCUAUUAAGUAAAACUUAUAAAAUUGCAUAUGAGUUUGCCUACUGUCAACUCCUCCCUCACACACACACACACCUUUUUUUCUUCAUGUCUCAUUAUGAAUAUCUAAUAACUUUGGGCUUAAUGUUUUGCUAUCUUGAUUUUAUCGUACAUUUAUUCACUUAUCAUUCUUCUAUUGGUCCAUUAAUCAUCCAUUUGGGAGUUGUAAUUCAAAGUACACUUUUCUUUAAAUACUUCAACUUGUAUAUCAUUAAUGGUAUUUGUUUAUUCUUUUUUUCUAAACUGUGUAUACAAUAUUCUUUGGUUGACUUUUAACAGAUAUAUACAUUUCUAUAAUCCAAAUUCCUUUCAAGAUAUAAAAUGUUAUCAUCACCCCAGAAAGUCCCCUUAUGCCCAUUUUAAUCAGUUUUUGUUCUGAUUGCCCAAAGCAGUAUUUAUCUUACUACAUAGAUUAAUUUUACCUAUUUUAGAAUUUUAUAUAAAUGGAUUCUUAUAUUGUACACUCUUUUGUGUCUAACUUCUUUCACUGCACAUGUUUUUGAGCAUGUUGUUGCUUGUAUCAAUAGUUUGUUCUAUUUUAUUGCUGAGGUGGUAUUCUAUUAUAUGAAUAUACCACAGUUUGUUUAUUAAUUUUCCCACUGAAGGACACCUGGGUUCCUUUCAGUUUUCAUUAUUAUGAAAAAAGCUUCAAUGAACUUUUAUUUUUCAAGUUUUUUGUGAAUAUACUUUUUCACAUCGUAUCUUGGGUUAAUAACACAGAGUGGAAUGGCAGAGUCGUAGGGUAGGUGUAUGUUUAAUUUUAAAAGAAACUGCCAAAUCUUUCCCAAAAUGAUUAUACUGUACUAGUGGCACAGUGCACAAAAUUCGUGUAGGGGGAGGGGGAAGGAUGUGUGUGUAUGUGUCCCUCAGCCCGGCCUGCACCCUCUCCAAUCUGGGACCCCUCAAAGGAUGGCCUACUGCCGGUUUACAGGGAUUGGGCCUAAACCGGCAGUCGGGCAUCUUUCUCGCAAUCCGGGACUGCUGGCUCCUAACUGCUCACCUGCCUGCCUGCCUGAUUGCCCCUAACCACUCUGCCUGCUGGCCUGCUCGCCCCCAACUGCCCCGCCCUCGCCGCCGGCCUGCUUGCCCCCAAAUGCCCCUCCCCCCCCCGGCAGCCUGAUCACCCCCAACUGCCCCUCGUGCCAGUAUGCUCACCCACAGCUGCUCCCCCCUGCUGGCCUGCUCGCCCCCAUCUUCCCUCCCCACUGGCCUGCUCGCCCCCAACUGCCACCCUGCUGGCCUGCUCACUCCAAACUGCCCCCCACAGUCCUGAUCACCCCCAACUGAUGGCCUGCUUGCCCCCAACUGGCCCCCCUGCUGGUCUGCUCACCCCCGACUGCCUCCCCCACCACCAGCCUGAUCACCCCCAAUGGCCACCCCCACCAGCCUGAUCACCCACCACUACCAUCCCAUCCAGGCCUGAUCACCCACAACUGCCCUCCCCUCUUGGCCUCUAACCACCUCUACCUCAGCCCCACCACCAUGGCUUUGUCCAGAAGAAUGUCCAGAAGGUCUCCUGGAAGGUCUCCCAGUCUAAUUAGCAUAUUACCCUUUUAUUAGUAUAGAGGCCUGGGUCCCCACUGGGGGGGGCAUGGCCAGCCUGGGGGAGGGGCUGAGGGCUGUUUUCAAGCUGGCCACACCCCUUUCAGGGUAGGGGUCCCCACUGGGGUGCCUGGCCAGCUUGGGUGAAGGGAUGAUGGCUGUUUGCAGGCUGGCCACACCCCCCAGCAGGGACUCUUACUCCAUGGGGUGUGGCCAGCCUGGGUAAAGGACUGAGGGCCGUUUUCAGGCUGGCCACAGCCCCUUCAGUGUGGGGGUUCCCACUGGGGUGCCUGGCCAGCCUGGGUGCGGGGCUGAGGGCUGUUUGCAGGCUUGCCAGGCCGCCCAGCAGGGAUCUUUACUCCAUGGGGGUGUGGCCAGCCUGGGUAAGGGACUGAGGGCCGUUUUCAGGCUGGCCAUGCCUCACUGCGACCCAUGCUCCCAGCCCCUCCUUUUUUUUUUUCAACCCCACCUUGAGUGGAGGGCAGCCACUCCUUUUAUUUUUUUCCAGCCCCUCCUUGAGCAGAGGCCAGGGCCAGCUGGAAGCCUGGGUAGCCCCCAGCGACCCAGGCCCUCCAGCCCCUCCUUGAGCAGAGGCCAGCCAGGGCCGACUGGAAGCCUGGGUUGCCCCUGGUGACCCAGGUCCCCAGCCACUCCUUCAGCAGUGGCCAGGGCAGGCGGGAAGCUUGGCUUCCUCCAUUGCCAACCCAAGCCCCCUGCUCACUCCAGCUCCAUGGCCGCCGCCAUCUUUGUUGGCUUAAUUUGCAUACUCACCCUGAUUGGCUGGUGGGCGUAGUGGAGUGAUGACCAAUUUGCACGUUUCUCUUUUAUUAGUGUAGAUUACACUCUCACUAGCAAUGUAUUAGAGUUCCAGUUGCUUCAAAUCCUCAUUAACAUUUAAUGAUGACUACCUUUCUACCUUAUAUACACUGAGGGGGUGUAGUGGUAUUUCUCUGUGGUUUUAAUUUGAUGACUAAUGAUGUUUGAGAACUUUACAUUGUCUUUUACUGGCUAUUCAUACUUAUUUUGUGAAGAAUCUAUUCAAAUUUUCUGCCUAUUUUUGAGUUGUUUAUUUUUUUACUAUUGAGUUGUUACAGUUACUGAGUAAGAUUAGAUUCCAGUCUUUUGUCAAAUAAAUGUUUUAUAAAUAUCUUCUCUCAAUCUGUGACUUGCCUAUUACUUUUCUUAAUAAUAUAUUUUGAUGAGUUUUUCAUUUUGAUGAAAUCUAAUUAUGAGAUAUUUUUUCUCUUAUAUGAUCAUUUUGAAGUUACAUUGGCUACUGUAGAAACUAGGAAGGAGAGGAAAUGGAAGUAGUUAUUUGAAUUAACCCUGUGCAAAGUAGAAGCUAACAGUUUUGUGAUAUCUUGAAAUAUUUUCUAAGCCACAGACCUAACCAGGCACACAAUGACUAAGGUGGUUUUGUUCAGAUAGCAUGACAGAGAUUAGGAAUUUAAAGAAUUUUCUUAGCCUGGGAGAAAAACUAUUGUCUGUCAGUUAGAAAAGAAGAAAGCUAACCUAGAAACGAACAAGUGUUGGGAAGGAUGUGGAGAAAAGGGAACCCUCAUGGGGGAAUGCAGAUUGGUGCAGCCACUGUGAAAAGCAGUGUGGAGUUUCCUCACAAAAUUAAAAAUGGAACUGUCUUAUGACCCAGUGAUUCCACUUCUGGGAAUAUAUCCAAAGAAACCCGAAACAUUAAUUUGAAAGAAUAUAUGCACCCCUGUGUUUGCUGCAGUGCUAUUAAUAGUAACCAACAUUUGGAAGUAGCCCGAGUGUCCAUUAGUAGAUGAGUGGAUAAAAAAUUUGUGGUACAUUUAUACAGUGGAAUAUACUGCUUUACCGUAAAAAAAGAAGCAAAUCUUAGCCUUUGCAACAGCAUGGAUGAACCUGGAGAGUAUUAUGCUAAGUGAAAUAAGCCAGUCAGAGCAAGACAGAUACCAUAUGAUUUCAUUUAUAUGUGCAAUCU